rnacentral:misc_RNA from 1 species
UUAGUUUAUUUAACUAUUUUCAGAUUUAACAUGGUUAAAAAGAAUUUGUUGUGGGCUACUGACGGGCACUGGCCAGAGGUCGAAGACCCCCGACGGUCCGGUCAAGGACGGGCCCGCCAAAGCAACAUGGUAGUUAUACAAAGGGUUGGAGAUCGGGCCUGGAAGACCCUAACUCAUUAAUGAUCCUUCCGCAGGUUCACCUACGGAAA